GCUUGUCUCAAAGAUUAAGCCAUGCAUGUCUAAGUAUAAGCUAUUUAUACGAGUGAAACUGCGAAUGGCUCAUUAUAUCAGUUAUAGUUUAUUUGAUGGUACUUACUACAUGGAUAACCGUAGUAAUUCUAGAGCUAAUACAUGCAUCAACCCCGACUUCGGAAGGGGUGUAUUUAUUAGAUACAAAACCAAUGCCCUUCGGGGCUCCUUGGUGAUUCAUGAUAACUAUACGAAUCGCACGGCCUUGCGCCGGCGAUGGUUCAUUCAAAUUUCUUCCCUAUCAACUUUCGAUGUUUGGGUAUUGGCCAAACAUGGUUGCAACGGGUAACGGAGGGUUAGGGCUCGACCCCGGAGAAGGAGCCUGAGAAACGGCUACUACAUCCAAGGAAGGCAGCAG
rnacentral:rRNA from 1 species